AAUAAAUUUAAGAUGCCAUCUCCCUUUGUAUAUCUUCUCCAUAUAUUAAAUCAGAAGUUAAUGCUUGUGCACCUCUCCCAUCUGAUGUACAAGUUUGGCUCUUUUGUUACAUUC
rnacentral:snoRNA from 1 species